CGAUGGAGUUCAGAUGCAUUAAAACGUCUUUGUUUCUGAUUCUGCUGCUUCUGUUUAUAGGUGAGUAUUUCUAUAACAUGAAACUUUAAUAAAGCUCAUUUAUUAAUAUGAAGAAUGUUAGUUUUUUACCUUUAUAGACCUUAGUAGUGUGUUUGUUUUCCAUGGAGGUGAAGGCAGCGAUGAAAUAUGCAAACUGUUGUCAUGAAGUCAUAUUUUUCUUCUCAGCAGCAGCAACCGGACAGAAGUUCCUCUAUCACUCUGUGAGAGAUGGAGGUGAAGGCACUCUGCCUUGUAACGAUGUGAUGGAUGAUCAGAGUAACUGUGACGGUACUGUCUGGACCUUCAGGGGCUCAUGAGGCAGAGCAACAGUACCUCUGGUUGAACGUGGGCAGAGUGUUGAAAACACAGACAGACUGAGUGUUACAGAGAAAUGUUCUCUGCGUAUAAAGAAGGUCACAGUUCAGGAUACUGGUGUUUAUCAUUGUCAGCAGUUUGGAUCAGAUCUAAACACUGUUCUCCUGUCUGUUGUUACCUUCACUGAACAUCACAACAAUGAUCAGGUGACAUUAAACUGCUCUGUGUCCAUAUAUGACUUCUGUAGACACACAGUGAAGUGGCUGUUUGAAGGUCGAGAUGUGGAACACUCAGAUAUAAAGACGUCACAGUCUCUCUGCUCUGCCUCUAUGACUGUUCUGACUUCUCGUUUUAGUUACACACAACGUUUACUUACAUGUGCUGUGAGUUUCAUUAAUGAUAAGGGAGUGCAGAUCUUCAGCCCUCAGUCCUCAGGUGAGGACACACAACCAACAACAACAACAACAACAACAGGACCAACAACAACAGGACCAACAACAACAACAGGACCAACAACAACAGGACCAACAACAACAACAACAGGACCAACAACAGGUAAACACUUUAACAACUUCAGGAAUCAACGCUUCACCAAAACAACUUCCUCUUCAGAUAAGAAGCCAAAGUAUUUCACAUUCACAUCAAUGAGGCU
rnacentral:lncRNA from 1 species